UACAGAGGUGGCAAGCGUUGUUCGGAAUUACUGGGCGUAAAGGGCGCGUAGGCGGUCUUGUAAGUCUUGUGUGAAAUCCCUCGGCUUAACUGAGGAACUGCACGGGAUACUGCAUGACUUGAGAUCGGGAGAGGGAAGCGGAAUUCCGGGUGUAGCGGUGAAAUGCGUAGAUAUCUGGAGGAAUACCGGUGGCGAAGGCGGCAUCCUGGACCGGCAUUGACGCUGAGGAGCGAAAGCCAGGGGAGCAAACGGG
rnacentral:rRNA from 1 species